AGGCUCGGACGUGCAGCUUGCAUGCCUGCAGGUCGACGAUUUUCCGGUUGAUCCCGCCGGAGGUUACUGCUAUCGGGGUCCGACUAAGCCAUGCGAGUUGAGAGGGGUAAGCCCUCGGCAUACUGCUCAGUAACACGCGGAUAACCUGCCCUUGGGUCCGGGAUAACCCCGGGAAACUGGGACUAAUACCGGAUAGAUCAGAGAAACUGGAAUGUUCUCUGGUCUAAAACUCCGGUGCCCAAGGAUGGGUCUGCGGCCUAUCAGGUAGUAGUGGGUGUAACGUACCUACUAGCCAGCGACGGGUAAGGGUUGUGAGAGCAAGAUCCCUGAGAUGGAUUCUGAGACAUGAAUCCAGGCCCUACGGGGUGCAGCAGGCGCGAAAACUUUACACUGCGGGAAACCGCGAUAAGGGGACCCCGAGUGCCAGCACCUAGUGCUGGCUGUCCUACUGUCUAAAUAACAGUGGUUAGCAAGGGCCGGGCAAGACCGGUGCCAGCCGCCGCGGUAACACCGGCGGCCCGAGUGGUAACCGUUUUUAUUGGGUUUAAAGGGUCCGUAGCCGGCUUACUAAGUCUCUUGGGAAAUCUGGCGGCUCAAUCGUCAGGCGUCCAAGAGAUACUGGUAGGCUUGGGACCGGGAGAGGUGGGAGGUACUCCAGGGGUAGGGGUGAAAUCUCGUAAUCCUUGGGGGACCACCGAUGGCGAAGGCAUCCCACCAGAACGGGUCCGACGGUGAGGGACGAAAGCUGGGGGCACGAACCGGAUUAGAUACCCGGGUAGUCCCAGCUGUAAACGAUGCUCGCUAGGUGUCAGGUGCGGUGCGACCGCAUCUGGUGCCGCAGUGAAAACUUGAAGCGAGUCACCUGGGAAGUACGGUCGCAAGGCUGAAACUUAAAGGAAUUGGCGGGGGAGCACUACAACGGGUGGAGCCUGCGGUUCAAAUGGAGUCAACGCCGGGAAUCUCUAGAGGAUCCCCGGGUACCGAGCUCGAA
rnacentral:rRNA from 1 species